rnacentral:misc_RNA from 1 species
GAUGAAGAACGUAGCGAAAUGCGAUAAGUAAUGUGAAUUGCAGAAUUCAGUGAAUCAUCGAAUCUUUGAACGCACCUUGCACCCUUUGGCAUUCCGAAGGGUAUGCUCGUUUGAGUGUCAUUGUACUCUCACUCUCCCGAUGCUUUUGGAUCGGGAGUGGUGGACUUGGGUGUUGCUGCUUUGCUGUGGCUCGCCUCAAAUGGAGUAGUGCAACUCUUGGUUGGACAUAGUACGGCGUGAUAAGUGUCUUCGCCGGCGCCUCAUUAUAGAGGGUGGCCGAUCGGGAGCUCUGUGCUUCAAACCGUCUUCGGACAACAUCUGACAACUUGACCUCCAAUCGAGUAGGACUACCCGCUGAACUUAAGCAUAUCAAUAAGCGGAGGA